rnacentral:rRNA from 2 species
GAGGAGCGGUUUCGGGAUUAUUGCGGCGUAAGCGAGCGCAGGCGGUUUUUUAAGUCUGAUGUGAAAGCCCUCGGCUUAACCGAGGAAGCGCAUCGGAAACUGGGAAACUUGAGUGCAGAAGAGGACAGUGGAACUCCAUGUGUAGCGGUGAAAUGCGUAGAUAUAUGGAAGAACACCAGUGGCGAAGGCGGCUGUCUGGUCUGUAACUGACGCUGAGGCUCGAAAGCAUGGGUAGCGAACAGGAUUAGAUACCCUGGUAGUCCAUGCCGUAAACGAUGAAUGCUAGGUGUUGGAGGGUUUCCGCCCUUCAGUGCCGCAGCUAACGCAUUAAGCAUUCCGCCUGGGGAGUACGACCGCAAGGUUGAAACUCAAAGGAAUUGACGGGGGCCCGCACAAGCGGUGGAGCAUGUGGUUUAAUUCGAAGCAACGCGAAGAACCUUACCAGGUCUUGACAUCUUUUGAUCACCUGAGAGAUCAGGUUUCCCCUUCGGGGGCAAAAUGACAGGUGGUGCAUGGUUGUCGUCAGCUCGUGUCGUGAGAUGUUGGGUUAAGUCCCGCAACGAGCGCAACCCUUAUGACUAGUUGCCAGCAUUUAGUUGGGCACUCUAGUAAGACUGCCGGUGACAAACCGGAGGAAGGUGGGGAUGACGUCAAAUCAUCAUGCCCCUUAUGACCUGGGCUACACACGUGCUACAAUGGAUGGUACAACGAGUUGCGAGACCGCGAGGUCAAGCUAAUCUCUUAAAGCCAUUCUCAGUUCGGACUGUAGGCUGCAACUCGCCUACACGAAGUCGGAAUCGCUAGUAAUCGCGGAUCAGCACGCCGCGGUGAAUACGUUCCCGGGCCUUGUACACACCGCCCGUCACACCAUGAGAGUUUGUAACACCCGAAGCCGGUGGCGUAACCCUUUUAGGGAGCGAGCCGUCUAAGGUGGGACAAAUGAUUAGGGUGAGUCUACAGGGGGGGGGCCACCAUAUAAACCCCCGGGUUUUGCCCGGGGA